UACGUAUGGAGCAAGCGUUAUCCGGAUUUACUGGGUGUAAAGGGUGCGUAGGUGGCAGUGCAAGUCAGAUGUGAAAGGCCGGGGCUCAACCCCGGAGCUGCAUUUGAAACUGCAUAGCUGGAGUACAGGAGAGGCAGGCGGAAUUCCUAGUGUAGCGGUGAAAUGCGUAGAUAUUAGGAGGAACACCAGUGGCGAAGGCAGCCUGCUGGACUGUUACUGACACUGAGGCACGAAAGCGUGGGGAGCAAACAGG
rnacentral:rRNA from 1 species